rnacentral:rRNA from 12 species
AUUAGUGUAUUAGCGUGUUGUGGGCACUCUUGGAAGCUAAGCAGGGCCAUGCCUGGUUAGUACUUGGAUGGGAGACCAGCUUGGAAGACCAGGGGCCGCUAGCC